rnacentral:rRNA from 1 species
AUUGAACGCUGGCGGAAUGCUUUACACAUGCAAGUCGAGCGGCAGCGCGGGGGCAACCCUGGCGGCGAGCGGCGAACGGGUGAGUAAUACAUCGGAACGUGUCCUUAAGUGGGGGAUAGCUCGGCGAAAGCCGGAUUAAUACCGCAUAAGCUCUGAGGAGGAAAGCGGGGGCUCCGUAAGGACCUCGCGCUGUUGGAGCGGCCGAUGUCGGAUUAGCUAGUUGGUGGGGAAAGGCCCACCAAGGCGACGAUCCGUAGCUGGUCUGAGAGGAUGAUCAGCCACACUGGAACUGAGACACGGUCCAGACUCCUACGGGAGGCAGCAGUGGGGAAUUUUGGACAAUGGGGGCAACCCUGAUCCAGCCAUUCCGCGUGAGUGAAGAA